rnacentral:misc_RNA from 1 species
AACUUUUAACAAUGGAUCACUUGGCUCUCGCAUCGAUGAAGAACGCAGCGAAAUGCGAUACGUAAUGUGAAUUGCAAAAUUCAGUGAAUCAUCGAAUCUUUGAACGCACCUUGCGCCCCUUGGUAUUCCGAGGGGCACACCCGUUUGAGUGUCGUGAAAAUCUCAACCUUCUCGGUUUCUUCUGGACACCGAAGGAGGCUUGGACUUUGGAGGCCUUUGCUGGCGUCUCUCGCCAGCUCCUCUAACGUGCAUUAUCGGGGUCCUCUUUGCCUAUCUUCGACGUGUAACAAGAUGUAUCCAUGUCUUGGUUUAUGGCGCUGUUGCUUUUAGGCCCCGCUUCUACCCGUCACAACGAGACAACGUUCGAGCGUGUCGAACACUAGUGAAACCACGAACCCUUGACCUCAAAUCGGGUGAGACUACCCGCUGAACUUACGCAUAUCAAUAAGCGGCGGCU